UAAAGACGGAGUAACAGAGUAUCAGAAGAUCAGAGUAAAGCCAUCGACUAUGACUGUUGUGAGAACUGACACCACCUUCACAAGCGGGAACAAGACGAAGCCACAUACAUUUGGUACAGCAAAAGAUUGUUACUCAUAUUCUGGAAGCUGCAAACGAAUAGGAACCUUUCACAUCGACACACUAGGCACAGGGAUGAAGUUCUCCACUGAUCUUAAGUGGACUGGAAAAGGAAGCGUAGGCAAAGUGUACAGUAUAACCCGGACACAGAAUGGCGCCGUCAUUGAUCUGGUGUGUGGAGGCUGGUGUGGGGGAUGCGAUCCUGAUGGAGAUAUGAUCCUCUACCCAAACAAUCUGGAUAUUCAGCCAUAGGUCUACCCGUUGUGUGGAGGAUAGUGUGGAUUGUGUUAAGUAUAAAUCCGCAAAUUGAAACAAUAAGCUAACCGAGAUAUCUGUACGUAAAAAGUGGUAUAUAAUCAACAAUUGUAUUAUUAAAUGAAUAUUGUUUACAAAUCAAUACAAAUUACUGCACAUGGAUGACAGUAUACAAUAGAAUGGUCAAUAUCAAAUACAAAAACAGCAGUGAUAAGAAAAGUCAGUUAUAAUAAUAUAUUGACCCAGCAGCGACAGUGCUAAAGC